rnacentral:lncRNA from 1 species
GUUUUUGGAAAGUUUGUUAUAGCUUGCUAUAGCUACUUUCCAUAGGCGUCGGCCUCAACUUCCAGUGAGACAGACUAUCGCAAUGUUCUGCUCCAAGAUAAUGUAGUACUAGUGUUCGAAUUCUGGUUCUUGGAUAUUUUGAGUUGCUACUCUUUUGAAAAGAUUGCAGCUUGAAUAAAAAAGGAAUAAAUGUUUACCGACAAUUCAGAUGAAUUUAACUUCAUUUUGUAAAUAAGUAUCACAAAACUACUUUGCGGAUCGGCCAUUGGCUGAAGAAAAUCAAAAGAAAUCUACGCGAGACAGCGUUUCAUUCAUGAAUAUUUCAUGAAUGAACAUUUUCCCGCACUAUUUUUUACUAUGUACGAUAUUUACAACUGUUUAUUAUUGAAUAAGUAAAAGCCCGAGAAUAUCGAAAGAGUCCGGUAUGCGAGAACAAGUUGAUAUUUGACCAAGUUGUCGGAUAAUUGACAAGUGAUAAUGGUUUGAUUUAUUUAACAAUACACAGGUGAUAGAAUAUAAAAUAAUCGAUAAUUAUAUGGCUUAUGUCUCACGCCAAGAACAUGUAAAUAAGGUAAAUACCGGCUUUAAUAGAAAAGUGCAUUGUUUUUGUCAAAACUGACAUCGAUCUGAAAGUUUUGAUGCCAAACAUCAGGAACAUAUAUAUUAGGCAGCAACCAUUUGAUUUUCUGGGGGG